rnacentral:rRNA from 1 species
CCUACGGGAGGCAGCAGUGAGGAAUAUUGGUCAAUGGACGAGAGUCUGAACCAGCCAAGUAGCGUGAAGGAUGACUGCCCUAUGGGUUGUAAACUUCUUUUAUAUGGGAAUAAAAUGUUCCACGUGUGGGAGUUUGUAUGUACCAUAUGAAUAAGGAUCGGCUAACUCCGUGCCAGCAGCCGCGGUAAUACGGAGGAUCCGAGCGUUAUCCGGAUUUAUUGGGGUUAAAGGGGGCGUAGGUGGAUUGUUAAGUCAGUUGUGAAAGUUUGCGGCACAACCGUAAAAUUGCAGUUGAAACUGGCAGUCUUGAGUACAGUAGAGGUGGGCGGAAUUCGUGGUGUAGCGGUGAAAUGCUUAGAUAUCACGCAGAACUCCGAUUGCGAAGGCAGCUCACUGGACUGCAACUGACACUGAGGCUCGAAAGUGUGGGUAUCAAACAGGAUUAGAUACCCGAGUAGUC